AAUGUACUCCCUCCGACCGGUGUUACUUGUCUUAAAUUUGCGUAAAUACGGAUGUAUCUAUACGUAAAAAGUGUCUAGAUACAUGUAAUAUUUCGACAAGUAAUUCCGGCCGAAGAGAGUAUUUU
rfam:Brachypodium distachyon strain Bd21 chromosome 3, whole genome shotgun sequence.